rnacentral:lncRNA from 1 species
AGAAUUCAGAAAGGCAAGAGACCACCUUACUGAGCUUCAAACUGGGGCUGGGAACGCUGCCAUGAAUUGGGCUUGGUCUGUCUGAAGGGAGCCACCUUUUCGACAAUCCUUAGACUUCUUUUGCCUGUUGGAAUUACACCUUGGAUCGUGGCGAAGUCUAUAGAGGUCAGAUUAAGAAGAACCAAAGCAGAAUAAACGUAGAACCCGAUGCUGAGUUCACGACCUGGUUGCAGAGUGAGCCCAUGGGACAGCCCUCUGAAAUUAUACUGCUUACAACCAUGCUGAGUCUGCAAGGACUUCGUCCAAGCCUUUCCGUCCAGGACCUCAAACAGAUCCAAUCACAAGAAGAGAGAUUUCAGGAAAGAGAAAAUUAUUCCUAUCAUCGGGGUUUUUGAAGAACAUGAAAUGACUGGGAAAAUAAUCAUGUUAAGUGGAAAAAAAAAAGAAAUCUAUCUGUUGUAAUUUUCAAAUAAUUUUUAAAUAAAUUUGAAAAAUUAAGAGAA